rnacentral:rRNA from 1 species
AUUGAACGCUGGCGGCAUGCCUUACACAUGCAAGUCGAACGGUAACGGGCCUUCGGGUGCCGACGAGUGGCGAACGGGUGAGUAAUGUAUCGGAACGUACCUUUCAGUGGGGGAUAACGUAGCGAAAGUUACGCUAAUACCGCAUAUUCUGUGAGCAGGAAAGCAGGGGAUCGCAAGACCUUGCGCUGAUUGAGCGGCCGAUAUCAGAUUAGCUAGUUGGUGAGGUAAAGGCUCACCAAGGCGACGAUCUGUAGCGGGUCUGAGAGGAUGAUCCGCCACACUGGAACUGAGACACGGUCCAGACUCCUACGGGAGGCAGCAGUGGGGAAUUUUGGACAAUGGGGGCAACCCUGAUCCAGCCAUGCCGCGUGAGUGAAGAAGGCCUUGGGUUGUAAGCUCUUUCGGCCGGGAAGAAUCGUAUGGGUUAAUACCUCGUGCGGAUGACGGUACCGGCAUAAGAAGCACCGGCUAACCUACGUGCCACGCACGCCGUAAC